UUAAUAACUGUUGUAGUUUUGAAAACGUGAUGAGUAUAAGUGAUAAUUCAAGACAUCUGCAGGACUGUAAUGAUAUGGAUCUAUCUUAUUUCUAUUUGUGACAAAGUCACAUGUACUUGUAGUAUUUCUACAGUUUGUUGCCUAUUUCGUAAUGGAAGGAAAUGCUGCAUUUCAGUUAGAAGUUAGUGAAAGUCAAGAUGUAAUUCUUUUAAUCCAAGUUCACAAAUCCCCUUAAUUUUAUCUCUGGGUGCUUUGGGGACCUGUGGAGUACAGGGGUUAAGAAAUGCUGGCCUAGAAGGAUGAGGAUGACAUUGAUAGGGACGUGGAGAAAGAAGAGAGAGAGGAGAGACACUUCCAGGCAGAACAACCUGAGAAAGGACCUUGGAGACAGGGCAGGAGAGGGACUGCUUGAGUAGAUGGGUAUGGCUAGGGUGUGUGUGUGUGUGUGGGUGUGUGUGGGGGUGUGUGUGUGGUGUGUGGAGGGUGCACUGUGUGGGGUAGGAUGAGAAAAUGAUGGGUGGAUAGCAACAGGGGAGAUUGUGAAGGGUUUGGCCGGCCAGAAGGAGGAAUUCUAUCAGUGGGGAGUGGAUCAGUGAUGUUUUUGAGUAUGGAACUGACAUAAAUAUAUCUUUGUUUUAGGAAAGUAAUUUGCAGCAUAAUGGGAGUGGGGUCAAAAAGGCUAGAGGCAGGAAGCUUUUCAGAGUUUAUUGCACUGGUCAGGAGAAGUAUAUUGAGAGCUUGAAGUAAUUCAGUAGACGUGGAAAAGAGAAGAUCUAAGCAAGAGACAGUGGAUAGGCAGAUUGAAAGGACCUGGUGACUGAACGAAAAGAGCAGAUCAUGGGGAGGGGACAGAAAAGCUGAUUCUACGUUUUUAACUUGUCCUACAGGAAAGACGUCCUACAGGAAAAUUCACCAAAACAGAGAACACAGGAAGACAGCUGGACCUGCGAAGAAACGUCAAAACAGCUGUAGAGGGGCUGUGUUGGAGGCGGUAACGGCUCUUUUAACAGCAGAGAAUAGAAAGAUCUCCAAAGAGACGCCUAUUGUCAGGAGACUUGCGCCCGCCCUGGCCAGCUUCCAAGUAAAAAAACAAAAACAAAGAAAUUGACAACACUUAACAUUAUAGGGAGCAGA
rnacentral:lncRNA from 1 species